rnacentral:rRNA from 1 species
AAUCAACGCUGGCGGCGCGCUUAACACAUGCAAGUCGAGCGAGAAAGGGGAGCAAUCCCUGAGUACAGCGGCGUACGGGUGAGUAACACGUGGGUGAUCUACCUUCUAGUGUGGAAUAACCCUGGGAAACCGGGGCUAAUACCGCAUAAGCCUGUGAAGGGAAAGCAGCAAUGCGCUGGAAGAGGAGCCCGCGGCCGAUUAGCUAGUUGGUGAGGUAACGGCCCCACCAAGGCGAUGAUCGGUAGCCGGCCUGAGAGGGCACACGGCCACACUGGCACUGAAACACGGGCCAGACUCCUACGGGAGGCAGCAGUGGGAAUCUUGCACAAUGGAGGCAACUCUGAUGCAGCGACGCCGCGUGAGCGAUGAAGCCCUUCGGGGGUGUAAAGCUCUUUCGGCAGGGACGA